rnacentral:rRNA from 1 species
UACGUAGGGGGCAAGCGUUGUCCGGAUUUAUUGGGCGUAAAGAGCGUGUAGGCGGCCUGACAGGUCUGCUGUGAAAACUCGAGGCUCAACCUCGAGAUGUCGGCGGAAACCGUCUGGCUAGAGUCCGGAGAGGAGAGUGGAAUUCCUGGUGUAGCGGUGGAAUGCGCAGAUAUCAGGAGGAACACCGAUGGCGAAGGCAGAUCUCUGGGCCGUAACUGACGCUGAGGAGCGAAAGCAUGGGGAGCGAACAGG